rnacentral:rRNA from 1 species
UACAGAGGUCCCAAGCGUUGUUCGGAUUCACUGGGCGUAAAGGGUGCGUAGGUGGUCGGGUAAGUCUGAUGUGAAAGCUCUGGGCUCAACCCAGAAAUGGCAUUGGAUACUAUCUGGCUAGAGGAAUGGAGGGGGGGACUGGAAUACUUGGUGUAGCAGUGAAAUGCGUAGAUAUCAAGUGGAACACCAGUGGCGAAGGCGAGUCCCUGGACAUUUCCUGACACUGAGGCACGAAAGCUAGGGGAGCAAACAGG